rnacentral:rRNA from 1 species
GUAGGUGGCAAGCGUUGUCCGGAAUUAUUGGGCGUAAAGCGCGCGCAGGCGGUUCUUUAAGUCUGAUGUGAAAGCCCACGGCUCAACCGUGAGGGUCAUUGGAAACUGGAGAACUUGAGUACAGAAGAGGAAAGCGGAAUUCCACGUGUAGCGGUGAAAUGCGUAGAGGUGUGGAGGAACACCAGUGGCGAAGGCGGCUUUCUGGUCUGUAACUGACGCUGAGGCGCGAAAGCGUGGGGAGCAAACAGGGAUUAGAUACCCUGGUAGUCCAGCCGUAAACGAUGAGUGCUAAGUGUUAGGGGGUUUCCCGCCCUUAGUGCUGCAGCUAACGCAUUAAGCACUCCGCUGGGGAUACGGCCGCAAGGCUG